rnacentral:misc_RNA from 1 species
AGGUCUGGUUCUCGCUGACUGGCUCACUCAUUUGGAGGUUCAGCCCUCAAAAAGUAAAGGGAAAAAAAUAUUGCAUUGUGGUCUUGCUAGAUAUUCAUUUCCUAAAGCUUGCUGUAGGACAUAGUUUAGGGCAGAACGAUGGCUUUAGAGAGAGAUUUAAUUUAGCAGUUGCCAGAGCUGUUGCAGAAAUGAGAGUUUUAGAUCUUUCAUGAGCAUUAGCUAUCAGUAAUCUUCUUGUGUGGUAAAUGUGAGAAGGUGGAAGUUCGAAAUGCAGAAAGAUCAAUCCAACUGAUGGGUGCAUCUUUAUUGCAACUCUGCUCAGGUGCUGCCCGUAAAUGGAAUUGUCAACUUUGUCUGGAACUUUAAGGCAGACUUUUCUUUUUGAUCGUGUUUAAGCCUCCUCAUAGAAGUGAUAUUAUUACACCAUUACCGUAUUCCAUAUACAGGGGAAUCACCCUUAUGGACAGCGGACAGCCAUCGUAUGUGUAAAAGAUCAUCCUGCGCCAAGUAAGUAUGACCCAGGUAAAGUUGCCAUCGUAACACCCAAUCUUUCCCCCAAGGUACUUUUCCUCUUGCAUCCUCAUAAAAUGUGUAUAGCAUGUUUGUUUUUCAGAUUUUCUCUUUUAUAAUAAUUAAUUAGGUAAGUUGUUGAAGCAUAAUGCUUGAUCAGUGGCUGACUUGCAGUGGUUGUGCAGUCUUUAUUCAUUGAUGUUGUUUUUAUGCACUUAGUAGCAGAGUUGAUCCGCAAAUAUUUGUAGGUUAAUUCCAUUUGUAUAAAAAAGAGAAUAACUUGGUCACUUGACAUUUUGGAUUUUGUGUAACAGGUAAUUUAUGAAUUUAGGAAUGAAUUUCUGAAUUACAUUCAAACUAGACUUUUG